rnacentral:rRNA from 1 species
CAUUGUAGCAUACAAGGCAUACGGCUCAGUAACGCGUAGUCAACCUAACCUAUGGACGGAGAUAACCUCGGGAAACUGAGAAUAAUGUCCGAUAGAACACUAUACCUGGAAUGGUUUGUGUUCCAAAUGAUUUAUCGCCGUAGGAUGGGACUGCGGCCUAUCAGUUUGUUGGUGAGGUAAUGGCCCACCAAGACUAUUACAGGUACGGGCUCUGAGAGGAGUAGCCCGGAGAUGGGUACUGAGACACGGACCCAGGCCCUAUGGGGCGCAGCAGGCGAGAAAACUUUGCAAUGUGCGAAAGCACGACAAGGUUAAUCCGAGUGAUUUGUGCUAAACGAAUCUUUUGUUAGUCUUAGAACCACUAACGAAUAAGGGGUGGGCAAGUUCUGGUGUCAGCCGCCGCGGUAAAACCAGCACCUCAAGUGGUCAGGAUGAUUAUUGGGCCUAAAGCAUCCGUAGCCGGCUCUGUAAGUUUUCGGUUAAAUCUGUACGCUCAACGUACAGGCUGCCGGGAAUACUGCAGAGCUAGGGAGUGGGAGAGGUAGACGGUACUCGGAAGGAAGGGGUAAAAUCCUUUGAUCUUUUGAUGACCACCUGUGGCGAAAGCGGUCUACCAGAACACGUCCGACGGUGAGGGAUGAAAGCUGGGGGAGCAACCGGGAUUAGAUACCCGGUAGUCCCAGCCUGUAACUAUGCAACUCAGUGAAUGCAUGACUGUGUCCAUUGCAGUGCCUGCCAGGCA